rnacentral:rRNA from 1 species
GACGAACGCUGGCGGCGUGCUUAACACAUGCAAGUCGAACGAAGUGGCGAACGGGUGAGUAAUACGUGGGUAACCUGCCCUCCUUUUUGGGAUAAGCCUUGGAAACGGGGUCUAAUACCGAAUAAAGGGGGUUGGGCUCGCGGGCUAUCAGCUUGUUGGUGGGGUGAUGGCCUACUAAGGCGGUGACGGGUAGCCGGCCUGAGAGGGGGACGGGCCACAUUGGGACUGAGAUACGGCCCAGACUCGUACGGGAGGCAGAAGUGGGGGAUAUUGCACAAUGGGCGAAAGCCUGAUGCAGCGACGACGCGUGGGGGAGGAAGGCUUAUGGGGCGUAAGCUUCUUUUAUAUAAGAAUAUGUAUUAUAUGAAUAAGGAUCGGCUAACUCCGUGCCAGCAGCCGCGGUAAUAC